rnacentral:rRNA from 1 species
CUGAACAAAGAGAGCAGCGGCGGCGCCCCCUCCCCAUCCGGCGUUUCUCUACCUUCCCCUAAAAACUCCGUCGAUCCCUCCGGCGAAGUCCUCUCCCGCUUUCCUACAUCGGGUCUCCUCUGACCACCCUUGUGCGACAUCCUACUCCAAAAAAAAGGCGGUCAGGUGCGCCCCUGCUCUCUUCGCAUGAAGCAAUCCAGUACUCCGAAUGCCCCCCUGCCAACGGUGCUGCUGGCCACGGCGCUUUGUAACGCCCCAUUCCAAUUUGGUUGCAGGAUUUGAAAAAAUAGUCACUCCAUCACCAG